rnacentral:rRNA from 1 species
GUGUCAGCCGCCGCGGUAAUACAGAGGGUGCGAGCGUUAAUCGGAAUUACUGGGCGUAAAGCGCACGUAGGUGGAUAUUUAAGUCGGAAGUGAAAGCCCUGGGCUUAACCUGGGAAUUGCCUCCGAUACUGGAUAUCUAGAGUAUGGUAGAGGAUAGUGGAAUUUCCGGUGUAGCGGUGAAAUGCGUAGAUAUCGGAAGGAACACCAGUGGCGAAGGCGGCUAUCUGGACCAAUACUGACACUUAGGUGCGAAAGCGUGGGGAGCAAACAGGAUUAGAUACCCUCGUAGUCC